AUCCAGCUGACGAAUCCCAAAAUAAGGGCGAAACGCGCGUCCUGAU
rnacentral:hammerhead_ribozyme from 1 species